UGUAAAACUAUAUUUUAUGCCACGUGUCAUCUUUCGGGAGAAGUUUUUUUGCUGAUGUGGACGCUUUAUGGAGCCUCAAAAGGUCUCUUUUAUUAGUAAGGAUUGAAAAGGAAAUUACUUAACAAUAAAAAAGGAACGUUUUGACAGAUUUGGUUCGCAAGUAAUGGAAGGUGUAGCAAAACAACAUCAAGUCAUCAUGACUAUCAUAAACGCUGGCUUUGACCUAUGCUCUCAAGGAGUUCUUCAUCACCACCGUGAACACCAACUUUCUGGUGAAAUCAACUUGUCUCUCCGUUGGGUCUGUGCUCUACUCAAACUCUUGAACCAUCCUCGCCAUCAUUAGCUCCACGUGUAUUAUCGCCAUCCUAAGCCUCGGGCAGAUCCGACGGUAGAUUCGAACGGCAUCAUCUUCACUCCUGCUACGGCGGUUAAAUCUGCCUCUUCUUCACCUAUUAUAAACUGGUCCGCGUUGAAUUUAUCCGGAUUGGACCAGGUAUUCGGGUCUUCACUCAUACUGGGAAGAUAUAACUCCACGUUGGCUCCAAUUCCCGGGAAUGUCGUAGCCGGAAAGAGUCGUCGGCUCUGUAACGCCGUGAGUUAACGUGAAGUACGUCGGUGGAUCUCUACGGGCCACGUUCCUUGGAAAAAUGUAAAAGCCCACACAAAACAAAAGUCGAAGCCCUUACCCCUUUUAAUGAAACACAGAGUUUGGCAAUAGAGUGGACAGGUGUCGCGCUCUGGUGAGAUGACUUUCUGACCUGGAUCCUAGGUGGCAGCACAGGAGGGAGGCAAACAUUUUUAUAUAUAUAUAGAUUAUGAAAACGAAGAGAUAGAACUAAAUAAAGUAUAUAUUAUGAAAACGAAAAGAUAUAAUUAAAUAAAGUAUAUCACUAUCGAAUCUUUGAUUAUAUAAAGUUUAUACACGGGAGAAUAAAAGUAAUCACCGUUAUAUAUUAAACUAAUAAUUGAAAAAUAGAGUCCCCACCAGAUCAAAAUAUUCCACACUUCUUUCUUCUUCCUCGUCUCUUUCUUCUUGGUCAAAAGUUUUCUUGGAUCGGGCCAUGGAAAAGUCUAUUGCAGUGACGAUCUCGGUGAAAGCUCCGGUUGAUCCAAAGCCGGAGAAAGAAGAAGAAGAUGGGUUCACAACUCCAACAGGGCCGCAAUUUAAAAUUCCGCCGUCGGUUAAGUGUCCUCCGGCUCCGAGGCGCGACAGCAUCCAGCGGAAGACGAUCGACAAACGGCGGAAAAAAUCUACGGGACGGAGGCUUACUUCGGUCAAAGCUCAAGACUUGAACGCUGUCUUCACAAGAACACAGACAUAGUUGCAUAAAGAGUAAAGACUCUUGAGUCUUUUUUCUUAGUGCGUACGUUAAUGACUUGUUAACCGAAGAAAUAUCAGGGGUUUUAAUUUUAUUCUAAUUAUGUGUUUUUAGUUACAGGCUACAGCUUUAUCUUGACCUCUUUCUUUAUUGUAUAUUUUUGAUAUAAUUAGUCUUAUCUAUCAUCGUAUCAUAGAUGAUGAUGCAACUCAUUCAGUUUGUAAACUUCAUAUCCUUAAUUUUCAUCCUACAAAACAAUAAGAUUGAAGAAAACGUAUGUCUUUUGA